rnacentral:lncRNA from 1 species
GGUGAGCAAGGACAGGUGCACAAGCCCUGCAGUCAGCUAAGCCAAGGUCUUUUUGGGCUGGAAAGUUUCCUUCCUGCUGAGGGCUGGCAUGAAGUCUGGCCAGAAUGUGCUGAAGAGAGAAAAGGAGGAGAGGCUCCAGUCGACCUCAUCUCUGGGGGAAAUGUUUUUCACCUGGCAACAGCGUGAAGGAGAUAGGAACUAAAAAAAAGUUUUUGGGUUUUUGUUUGUUUUAAAAAGAGAAAGUACUAGAGGCAUUCCUAUAAGGUUGUGAAUUAUCAAAAUGUGUUAUAUAAUGUUUUUUGAUCCUUGGAAAACCAGAUAUUGGGAUUCACUUUGUAGGUCCUUUUUGAAGAUUGGAAAUACCUUUUCGUCUUUUCAAAGUGGGCUGGGACAUCUUAAAGAAAUGAGGAAUUGAGAAGGACAUUUCUUGACAGGAGGACAGGAACUCCUGUUGGGAAGAAUACUCCGAGGAGUCUAACAGGCAAAGAGCAGGCAUAGUUAAGACCUCCAUCAGCAGGAAAUUUCACCAGAUGGAGACUCUAUUACAUGAAAUUUAGAGAUUUCAUUUGCCUUAAAAUGGUACAAUACAGCACAGCAACUGGCGUCCAGGGGACUGCAUGGAGUGAACUGACAAGAAGAGAGUUACUAACCAAGGAAGGAGUGGAGGUGGAAGAUGGUGGAGCCACAUCUACCAUCUUUUCACCUCUGUCCAACAUCUGCAUGAUUUUUACUUACGGUUACUGCUUCGCGCUCCCUAGCAGUCCGCUCCAUUAUCACCACUGCUUUUCCUCUUGCUUCCUGACAUGCUGGGCUCUGACCGAGCACUGCACUGCUGUGCACUAUGCACUAUGCAGUGAGCACACAGCGGCACAGCUGUGACAGUGUCCUGCAGAUGCGUGAGCUACUUCCACGAUUUAUUGACAGCUAUGAAUGUUCGUGAUGCAAGGUCCAUUUGUAUCUGUGAAAGUUUUCAACUCAAAUGUUCAUAAGUUGGGGCUUACUGUAUUAUUGUUUAUAGCCACCCAACUGUACAAAUACCAC